AUUGAACGCUGGCGGCAUGCCUUACACAUGCAAGUCGAACGGUAACAGGUUAAGCUGACGAGUGGCGAACGGGUGAGUAAUAUAUCGGAACGUGCCCAGUCGUGGGGGAUAACUGCUCGAAAGAGCAGCUAAUACCGCAUACGACCUGAGGGUGACAGCGGGGGAUCGCAAGACCUCGCGCGAGUGGAGCGGCCGAUAUCAGAUUAGGUAGUUGGUGGGGUAAAGGCCCACCAAGCCAACGAUCUGUAGCUGGUCUGAGAGGACGACCAGCCACACUGGGACUGAGACACGGCCCAGACUCCUACGGGAGGCAGCAGUGGGGAAUUUUGGACAAUGGGCGCAAGCCUGAUCCAGCCAUGCCGCGUGCGGGAAGAAGGCCUUCGGGUUGUAAACCGCUUUUGUCAGGGAAGAAAAGGUUCUGGUUAAUACCUGGGACUCAUGACGGUACCUGAAGAAUAAGCACCGGCUAACUACGUGCCAGCCGCCGCCGUAA
rnacentral:rRNA from 1 species